AUGAAACAAAGAUGCGUUUGAAUGUAUUGAGAGUGAAAAUGGAAAAUAACUAUGUAUUAACUAAUAUGCUGAUUGUAAUAUAUUUAUUCAAUGUUAAAGACAGUCCCUUAAAAUCAAUGUUGGAGAUCAUUGUAAGACAUAUUAGACAUAAAGAUGACAGGACAGGCUUCAACAGCGAUGCCAUCCAGACCAAAUCAACUAACGAUAUACAGAAGUUUCCAACAGUGACACAAACAGUGUAUGAUGACAACUCCAGCACAGAAAAACACUACUGAAUUGAUUUUCAACAAAACUGAAAUGUCAAGGUAUUCAUCAUAAACUAAAGGCAUUUUAUUAGAUCCUCUCAGCAACCAUAACUAGAUCUCAGCUGUCAUAAGGAACUAGGCAACAUGUUAGUUAGAUUAUUUGCAAGGGUUCUGUGUUGAUGUCUUCUUUGUGAUUUGUUUCUGUCACAGGUCGCUUACAGAGGUUGUCUGUCCAUCACAUUGUACAUUAUCAUCAUUUGAAGCAUCAGAUACUCACCCCACAAUUACCCAGAGAAGUAUCUGGAGCCAUAAACGUAGCCAGAGCCAGCAGCACCAACAGCCUCUACAUUCCUUCCUAGAUAAUGACAUCUCCACUAAGAGGGAAUCCCUUUCAGACAAAAAUACUGUUGUCACCUCAGAGAGUACUCAUAAGAAGAAAACAAGCCGCCUCAGACAAGGCACGAUUCCAGGUCCCAUAGCUAGUUUUUCCCAGGAAUCCAAUAGAUAAUGCCAGACUCGACACCCUAAUCUUCUUCUGGUAAAUGACGAAGACAGCAAAAACAGCAGAGAUGGGCCUCCAUUGCUUGUCCAGUCACAUAGAAUGGUUACGGGGCUGACCGAGCUCUCCCCUGCUGAGAGAAAGCCAACAGCCACGUAGCACACCGGGGAAAGGAAGUGAUGAAGAUGGACAUGGGUUUGAGAAAGUAGGAAAAAAACAAUAUUGGAUGACGUGGACCAUAUAUUUGAUUGCAGACAUUGAUGAUGAUGAGGACGAGUCGAGUGAGCUCUCCAGAGUGUCCUUCCACUCCUCCAGUUUGCCUCAGCCCAUGAUAGUCAACCCAUGGUUUGGAUCCCAAAUGGCACCCUAUUCCUUACAUAGGUCACUACCUUUGACCAGAGCCCUACGGGCUCUGAUCAAAGGUAGUGCACUAAAUAGGGAAUAGGAUUCCAUUUGGGACUCGUUUUUGAUUACUGGACAGGAGCUCAAAUAUUUGGCCUGGUUUGAGUUAAAAUGCUGUGAUGUUUAGUGAUGAUGUCUUUCUGUGUUUUCUACCCUGAAGAGCUCAUUCUUGGAUCUAGCAGCAGUUUUUUGCAGUGCCGAGUGGAGGUGUCAGAGUUUCACAUUCUCAGAUACACCGGAUCUGGGAUAUGGGAUUGUACAGAAGAAGGAGCUUGCCAAUUUAUUGCGGUGUGGACGGGCUGUAUUGAAUGUCUUCAACAACCACAAGGAGCUCGAUUCAGGCACUGGAAACCUGAACCGUCUCAAGGGAACAAGAGGACGCAGUGACAUUAGAAUGCUGUCUUUAUUUGAACGUUAUAAUAUCUGCAAGGUUAAAACACAUGGUUACAUGACACAUCUUCUGCUAUUGAAAUUGCCAUAGAUCAACUGUACAUUCUACAGAUUGCGCCUUUAAAGGUAGACUCAACGGGAUGAUGUUGCGUGCACGAAGUAAACACAUGGUGGGUCAAUUACCGCAACAACUAAGAGCGUCUCUGGGUGGUGUGCAGCGAGAGCCAUUUCAGCGUGCUCUUUGGUGUGCAGGAGCAGCUGUUGAGUGACCAGUGUGGGCUCGGGGAGUUUGACCUAUACUACUACGAUGGCCUAGCCAAUCAGCAGGAGGAAAUCUGCCUCACUCUGGAGGUACCACAGGAAUAUCUGCCGGCUGCCAAGAUAUCAACACUGAUCUCAUUCCUCCUCUUGAACACUGUAUACGGACAAUAAAGAUGCCAUUGUCGAUUGGAAUGACACCAAGCCCAUACUUUGAUUGGCUGGUGGAUAGAAGGUGAUGACAGUAGAUGAGAUUAGGCCUUCCCCAUGGCUGGAGACAAAAUAUACUGCUUUGUUAUUAAAUAGAUGUACUUACAAGUAUAUAUUUGUAUUGUAUAGAGUAUAUUAUUUGUAUUGUAUUAAUAGUAUUGUCUUUUAUCAACAACCACACGUUUUGACACGAUCAUGGAGGCCAUUUUUGUCCAUGUCACUGAUGUCUUGAGAUGUUGCGUCAAUAUAUCCACAUCAUUUUCCUCAUUGUUUUUGAAGAUGUUACAGUAAGUGGUGCAGGAAGUGUUGAUGCAUACGCCUUAAAACGAGUCAUUACCUCAUUGUAUCUUACAUGGACAUGCCCAAGAUAAAUAGGAGUGCCUUGGAUUUGUCAUAGCCUAUGACAUGCAGCUUUCAAGACCAUUAGUUGUAAUGAUUUACAAUAUCCAUAAUCUAUUAUGAUAUGUGGUGUGUAUUUUUGACUGUAAAUAUUUUAUAUGACUGGUCAGAGUCAUCUGUUUUAUUAAAAUAAAAGUUGUGGAUCACCUGUA